GCAUGAGCGGGCGAUCUGACCGCGACACCUGUCACCCCAUUGAUCGUCAGCGUUAAUUUGGCCGAUCCGGCUGGCUAAGCGAGCAUCCACUCCCCGCUUCACCACUCCAGUGCGUGCAUCCCCCCUGAAGCUGCACGCUCAGUCUAAGAGGACGACCUACCCCGUAGAGGACUUUUCUUCCAUCAGGGGUUUACGAACAGCUGCGGUGCCCUGCUAGAGCCUCCAAACAUUCACGAAAUGAUUGUCAGGGCUGAAAUGCAGAGUUACUCGGUUUCAAAUCUAAUGCUUUCUUCUACCAUU
rnacentral:snRNA from 1 species